AAGGAGUUUAUCGUGUACGCGAGUCAUUGGGUGUUUAAAACCCAAAGGCGUAAUGAAAGUAAAGAGUAGAUAUUUGUAAUUUAGAUUUAUCUUUUUUACAAUCUCUCUUAAGGGAAGAUGAAAAUAGUACAAGCAUUUAUUGUUUGUCAAUAUUUUCCGCACUCCCAGGGCGCUUGUAUUUCGCUUUGCGAAUUGAUGCGCACCUAGAGCGUACACGAUGAUACCCGAAAGAUGGUGAACUAUGCCUGGCCAGGACAAAGCCAGGGGAAACCCUGGUGGAGGUCCGCAGCGAUUCUGACGUGCAAAUCGAUCGUCGGAGCUGGGUAUAGGGGCGAAAGACCAAUCGAACCAUCUAGUAGCUGGUUCCCUCUGAAGUUUCCCUCAGGAUAGCUUGCACUCGGUUGAGAAGAGUCUCAUCCGGUAGAGCGAAUGAUUAGAGGCAUUGGGGUCGAAACGACCUCAACCUAUUCUCAAACUCCAAAUAGAUGAGAACCCCGGCUUUCUUAAAAGUGAAGCCGUGGGGAUAUGAUCAGAGUGCCAAGUGGGCCAAUU
rnacentral:rRNA from 1 species